rnacentral:misc_RNA from 1 species
CCUGAAUGAUAGUGAUUGUGCAGUGUCCACACAGAUUGUCUGAUAAAAGAAAAUGAGCAGGAAUGCCCGCGAAGAAGACUUGAGUCCCCUUCGUCUAGAGGCCUAGGACACCGCCCUUUCACGGCGGUAACAGGGGUUCGAAUCCCCUAGGGGACGCCAUCCUGUUCAGGCACUGUGUGAAGGGCAGGGUCAACGAAUUAUUGGUAAGCGGACUGCGAAGUCGGUUUACCAAUAACGCUCUUUAACAAUCUGGAACAAGCUGAAAAUUUGAAACAAUCAGUGCUGUCAAUGACAGGACUGAUGAGUCUCUCAAAACGCACACCCGAAGACACCUUCGGGUUGUGA